rnacentral:rRNA from 1 species
AUUGAACGCUGGCGGCAGGCCUAACACAUGCAAGUCGAGCGGAUGAAGGGAGCUUGCUCCUGGAUUCAGCGGCGGACGGGUGAGUAAUGCCUAGGAAUCUGCCUGGUAGUGGGGGAUAACGUCCGGAAACGGGCGCUAAUACCGCAUACGUCCUGAGGGAGAAAGUGGGGGAUCUUCGGACCUCACGCUAUCAGAUGAGCCUAGGUCGGAUUAGCUAGUUGGUGGGGUAAAGGCCUACCAAGGCGACGAUCCGUAACUGGUCUGAGAGGAUGAUCAGUCAGACUGGAACUGAGACACGGUCCAGACUCCGACGGGAGGCAGCAGUGGGGAAUAUUGGACAAUGGGCGAAAGCCUGAUCCAGCCAUGCCGCGUGUGUGAAGAAGGUCUUCGGAUUGUAAAGCACUUUAAGUUGGGAGGAAGGGCAGUAAGUUAAUACCUUGCUGUUUUGACGUUACCAACAGAAUAAGCACCGGCUAACUUCGUG